GUUCGGUGAUGAUCCCCAUGCGUGUCAUCUGAUCCCGGGACCCCCUGCUCCCUGGCUGCCCCCCACACCAAGUGUUCUGCUUGCUGGGGGGUUCGGGUCGGCAUGGGGGUUCCGGAAAAUAUGAUCAGAGUAGUUUUAUUCUGAGAAC
rnacentral:snoRNA from 1 species